AGAGUUUGAUCAUGGCUCAGGACGAACGCUGGCGGCGUGCUUAACACAUGCAAGUCGCACGGGCCCGCAAGGGUCAGUGGCGAACGGGUGCGUAACACGUGAGGAACCUGUCCAACGGUGGGGGAUAGUCGGUCCAACGACCGGGUAAUACCGCGUACGACCUUCGAGGGGCAUCCCUUGAUGGUGAAAGCAGCAAUGCACCGGUGGAGGGCCUCGCGGCCUAUCAGCUAGUUGGUGAGGUAAUGGCUCACCAAGGCUACGACGGGUAGCUGGUCCGAGAGGAUGACCAGCCACAUUGGGACUGAGACACGGCCCAGACUCCUACGGGAGGCAGCAGUGGGGAAUAUUGCGCAAUGGGCGAAAGCCUGACGCAGCGACGCCGCGUGUGGGAUGACGGCCUUCGGGUUGUAAACCACUGUCGGGAGGGACGAAAUCAAUGACGGUACCUCCAAAGGAAGCACCGGCUAACUCUGUGCCAGCAGCCGCGGUAAUACAGAGGGUGCGAGCGUUGUCCGGAAUUACUGGGCGUAAAGGGCGCGUAGGCGGCUUGGUAAGUCGGGGGUGAAAGUCAGCGGCUCAACCGCUGGACUGCCUUCGAGACUGCCUGGCUUGAGCAUGGUAGAGGCUGGCGGAAUUCCCGGUGUAGCGGUGGAAUGCGUAGAGAUCGGGAAGAACAUCGGUGGCGAAGGCGGCCAGCUGGGCCAUUGCUGACGCUGAUGCGCGACAGCGUGGGGAGCAAACAGGAUUAGAUACCCUAGUAGUCC
rnacentral:rRNA from 1 species